rnacentral:tRNA from 1 species
GGCCCUAUAGCUCAAUGGAUAGAGCCCAGGACUUCUAAUCCUGCCAUGAUGGUUCGAUUCCGUCUAGGGUCA